rnacentral:rRNA from 1 species
GGUAACCUGCCUCACACUGGGGGAUAACAGUUAGAAAUGGCUGCUAAUACCGCAUAAGCGCACAGUACCGCAUGGUACGGUGUGAAAAACCCAGGUGGUGUGAGAUGGAUCCGCGUCUGAUUAGCCAGUUGGCGGGGUAACGGCCCACCAAAGCGACGAUCAGUAGCCGACCUGAGAGGGUGACCGGCCACAUUGGGACUGAGACACGGCCCAA